CGCCACCGCGCCCGAGGCCGCCGGCUGCCCCUAGCAGAACCUUCCUGAAUCACAGUGUGGCUUCCGAC
rnacentral:lncRNA from 1 species